GGUUAAGCGACUAAGCGUACACGGUGGAUGCCCUGGCAGUCAGAGGCGAUGAAGGACGUGCUAAUCUGCGAAAAGCGCCGGCGAGGUGAUAUGAACCCUUGACCCGGCGAUGUCCGAAUGGGGAAACCCAGUGCAAUCCGUUGCACUAUCGUUAACUGAAUACAUAGGUUAACGAGGCGAACCGGGGGAACUGAAACAUCUAAGUACCCCGAGGAAAAGAAAUCAACCGAGAUUCCCCCAGUAGCGGCGAGCGAACGGGGAGCAGCCCGGAGUCUGAAUCAGCUUGUGUGUUAGUGGAACGGUCUGGAAAGUCCGACGGUACAGGGUGAUAGUCCCGUACACGAAAAUGCACAUGCUGUGAACUCGAAGAGUAGGGCGGGACACGUGGUAUCCUGUCUGAAUAUGGGGGGACCAUCCUCCAAGGCUAAAUACUCCUGACUGACCGAUAGUGAACCAGUACCGUGAGGGAAAGGCGAAAAGAACCCCGGCGAGGGGAGUGAAAAAGAACCUGAAACCGUGUACGUACAAGCAGUGGGAGCCUCUUUAUGGGGUGACUGCGUACCUUUUGUAUAAUGGGUCAGCGACUUAUAUUCUGUAGCAAGGUUAACCGUAUAGGGGAGCCGAAGGGAAACCGAGUCUUAACUGGGCGUUAAGUUGCAGGGUAUAGACCCGAAACCCGGUGAUCUAGCCAUGGGCAGGUUGAAGGUUGGGUAACACUAACUGGAGGACCGAACCGACUAAUGUUGAAAAAUUAGCGGAUGACCUGUGGCUGGGGGUGAAAGGCCAAUCAAACCGGGAGAUAGCUGGUUCUCCCCGAAAGCUAUUUAGGUAGCGCCUCGUGAACUCAUCUUCGGGGGUAGAGCACUGUUUCGGCUAGGGGGCCAUCCCGGCUUACCAACCCGAUGCAAACUACGAAUACCGAAGAAUGUUAUCACGGGAGACACACGGCGGGUGCUAACGUCCGUCGUGAAGAGGGAAACAACCCAGACCGCCAGCUAAGGUCCCAAAGUCAUGGUUAAGUGGGAAACGAUGUGGGAAGGCACAGACAGCCAGGAUGUUGGCUUAGAAGCAGCCAUCAUUUAAAGAAAGCGUAAUAGCUCACUGGUCGAGUCGGCCUGCGCGGAAGAUGUAACGGGGCUAAACCAUGCACCGAAGCUGCGGCAGCGACACUAUGUGUUGUUGGGUAGGGGAGCGUUCUGUAAGCCGUUGAAGGUGUGCUGUGAGGCAUGCUGGAGGUAUCAGAAGUGCGAAUGCUGACAUAAGUAACGAUAAAGCGGGUGAAAAGCCCGCUCGCCGGAAGACCAAGGGUUCCUGUCCAACGUUAAUCGGGGCAGGGUGAGUCGACCCCUAAGGCGAGGCCGAAAGGCGUAGUCGAUGGGAAACAGGUUAAUAUUCCUGUACUUGGUGUUACUGCGAAGGGGGGACGGAGAAGGCUAUGUCAGCCGGGCGACGGUUGUCCCGGUUUAAGCAUGUAGGCGGAGGUUCCAGGUAAAUCCGGUACCUUAUUAACGCUGAGGUGUGAUGACGAGGCACUACGGUGCUGAAGUGAUAAAUGCCCUGCUUCCAGGAAAAGCCUCUAAGCAUCAGGUAACACGAAAUCGUACCCCAAACCGACACAGGUGGUCAGGUAGAGAAUACCAAGGCGCUUGAGAGAACUCGGGUGAAGGAACUAGGCAAAAUGGUGCCGUAACUUCGGGAGAAGGCACGCUGAUAUGUAGGUGAAGCCCCUGCGGGCGGAGCUGAAAUCAGUCGAAGAUACCAGCUGGCUGCAACUGUUUAUUAAAAACACAGCACUGUGCAAACACGAAAGUGGACGUAUACGGUGUGACGCCUGCCCGGUGCCGGAAGGUUAAUUGAUGGGGUUAGCGGCAACGCGAAGCUCUUGAUCGAAGCCCCGGUAAACGGCGGCCGUAACUAUAACGGUCCUAAGGUAGCGAAAUUCCUUGUCGGGUAAGUUCCGACCUGCACGAAUGGCGUAAUGAUGGCCAGGCUGUCUCCACCCGAGACUCAGUGAAAUUGAACUCGCUGUGAAGAUGCAGUGUACCCGCGGCAAGACGGAAAGACCCCGUGAACCUUUACUAUAGCUUGACACUGAACACUGGUCCUUGAUGUGUAGGAUAGGUGGGAGGCUUUGAAGCGUGGACGCCAGUCUGCGUGGAGCCAACCUUGAAAUACCACCCUUUAAUGGCUGGUGUUCUAACGUAGACCCGUAAUCCGGGUUGCGGACAGUGUCUGGUGGGUAGUUUGACUGGGGCGGUCUCCUCCCAAAGAGUAACGGAGGAGCACGAAGGUUGGCUAAUCCUGGUCGGACAUCAGGAGGUUAGUGCAAUGGCAUAAGCCAGCUUGACUGCGAGCGUGACGGCGCGAGCAGGUGCGAAAGCAGGUCAUAGUGAUCCGGUGGUUCUGAAUGGAAGGGCCAUCGCUCAACGGAUAAAAGGUACUCCGGGGAUAACAGGCUGAUACCGCCCAAGAGUUCAUAUCGACGGCGGUGUUUGGCACCUCGAUGUCGGCUCAUCACAUCCUGGGGCUGAAGUAGGUCCCAAGGGUAUGGCUGUUCGCCAUUUAAAGUGGUACGCGAGCUGGGUUUAGAACGUCGUGAGACAGUUCGGUCCCUAUCUGCCGUGGGCGCUGGAGAAUUGAGGGGGGCUGCUCCUAGUACGAGAGGACCGGAGUGGACGCAUCACUGGUGUUCGGGUUGUCAUGCCAAUGGCACUGCCCGGUAGCUAAAUGCGGAAGAGAUAAGUGCUGAAAGCAUCUAAGCACGAAACUUGCCCCGAGAUGAGUUCUCCCUGAGACUUUAAGUCUCCUGAAGGAACGUUGAAGACGACGACGUUGAUAGGUCGGGUGUGUAAGCGCAGCGAUGCGUUGAGCUAACCGAUACUAAUGAACCGUGAGGCUUAACCUU
rnacentral:rRNA from 1 species